UGAUUGGCCCGGGCGGAAGGCAGCGCCUGGCUUUAAAGGGACUGCGCCCUCCAGGGGCAGACGUGAGGGAAGUGACCUGUGGAGUUUGAAGCGGAGUCGGACCACUAAGAUCCUCCCCCACCCCACCCCCACCACCGCUGGAAGGAAUUUCGAAAUCACCCGGCCUGGUGCUGGUCGUACGCUAUUUUCAGAAGGCCAGAGAGAUUGUGCCACUUGUUCAACUCCACACAGUGCUCCUCCUGCUCUCCGUCUAUCUUCCAGAGUUGAGAAAAGGGCUCUGUCCAGAGGCAAGCUGAUGAAUUGGCUAGCUGGGAAAAAGAACCAAAAGCCCUCCACUGUAGCUGAUUUCAAGCCACCCAUGCGAUGUCACUGCAUGUAGAGUUGGGAAGAGACUCACAGAAUCAGCUCUUGCAAGCAGGUAGGAGCCAGCUCCAGCACACCACUGGCUCUGUCCCAGGACAGUCCCACUGCCAU
rnacentral:lncRNA from 1 species